rnacentral:rRNA from 1 species
GCAAUGGGCGAAAGCCUGACGCAGCGACGCCGCGUGAGGGAUGAAGGCCUUCGGGUUGUAAACCCCUUUUCUYRGGGAAGAAUAAUGACGGUACYCGAGGAAUAAGUCUCGGCUAACUACGUGCCAGCAGCCGCGGUAAUA